GGCUUAUUGAAAAUAAUUUUAAGUCUGACCUGCCCACUGAAGAUUUAAAUGGCCGCGGUAUUUUGACCGUGCAAAGGUAGCAUAAUCAUUAGUUUUUUAAUUGAAAGCUUGUAUGAAUGGUUUGAUGAAAAAUUUUCUGUCUCUUUUAAAAUAAAAUAGAAUUUUAUUUUUAAGUUAAAAAGCUUAAAUUUACAUGGAAGACGAGAAGACCCUAUAGAGUUUUAUAUUUAGGUAAGGAUGGUGUAAGAGGAAAAUAAAAACUUGUUUUUACUUGAAAUGUUUAGUUGGGGUGAUUGGAAAAUUGAAUUAACUUUUUUUAAAAUUUUAUAUUAAUUUAUAAAUAAGUGAUCCUAAAGUUUAGAUUGGAAGAUAAAAUUACCUUAGGGAUAACAGCGUAAUUUUAUCUAGAGUUCUUAUCGAAGAUAAGGAUUGCGACCUCGAUGUUGGAUUAAAAUUAAUGGUUGGUGUAGAGGCUAAUCUAUUAGGUCUGUUCGACUUUUAAAAUUUUACAUGAUCUGAGUUUAAACCGGUGUAAG
rnacentral:rRNA from 1 species